AGGAUAAACGCUGGCGGCGUGCCUAACACAUGCAAGUCGAACGCGCUUGCUAUCCGCGAGGACGGUGAGCGAGUGGCGGACGGGUGAGGAACACGUGGGUGACCUACCUUUCAGUGAGGGAUACCGGCGAGAAAUUGCCGACAAGACCGCAUACGCUUCUCUUUUCAAGGGGAGAAGGAAAGCUUUUCGCAAGAGAGGCGCUGGGAGAUGGGCCUGCGGCCGAUUAGCUAGCUGGUGGGGUAAUGGCCUACCAGGGCGACGAUCGGUAGCUGGUCUGAGAGGACGAUCAGCCACACUGGGAUUGAGAACGGCCCAGACUCCUACGGGGGGCAGCAGUGAGGAAUUUUCGGCAAUGGGGGCAACCCUGACCGAGCAACGCCGCGUGCAGGACGACGGCCUUCGGGUUGUAAACUGCUUUUCUCUGGGACGAGCAAGGACGGUACCAGAGGAAGAGCCCGGCUAACUACGCGCCAGCAGCCGCGGU
rnacentral:rRNA from 1 species